CACCACUUAAGCCCUGUUGCUUAGCGUUGGGGGCCUACGGCACUGCCUGUAGCCCCUUAAAGUGAUUGGCGGAGUUGGUUCUCACUCUAAGCGUAGUAAUUCUUUCUCGCUUCUGUAGUGGUCCCUUCCCCUGCCGUAAAACUUACUUUGUAAACACU
rnacentral:misc_RNA from 1 species